GAGAUAGGGGGGGGUCUGUAACGAACGCCCACCUCCAACCCCCACCACUGACUGCGUGCCCCACAUCUGAGCCAGCCGAGCUCCACCUGAGCCUCUCCCGCAGCCCCCGCCCCCCACAGCUGCGCUCGCACCGCAGGUGCGGCCAUUAAUGACCGUUAAUGACCGCUGACGACCAUUAAAGGCCGUGAAUUCUCACUGACGCCCCCCGGUAGCCUUCAGAGAUGCGCGGCGUUGCGGGAGCUCGCGGAGUGCUGCGGACCGCAGUAAAAAUUCCUGCUCGGCGGAGGGUUGGACUGCAGGCUGAUCACUCAGCAUUUCUAAAGUGAGAGCUUCAAGCAAAACGGAUACAGAGUUCUCCACCUCAGCCCAAAACCAUCUGCAGAAUGCAGUGCCAGUUCAUUUCUCCGGCAGCAUUUGGUCUUUGGUGCUGCGUGCCUUUCAGAAGGAAUGCAGCAAAAUUCACUCUGUGUGCAGAGAUGGAAGCUGCCCAUUCGUCUCUGGGAUUUAUUUACAAUGGAAGUUGGAUUCUUUCCCUUGCUAAAAUGAUCUCCUGCUGGUCUGAGGGUUUAUGUGGAUGGGAACCAACAAAAGUGCCACAAUCUACUCAGGAGGAACACAGAUAAUAAGAGGACCCACCUUAUAACAGCAACUUUAUGCACUGAUGUUCCUUAUCUACAGAUAAUUUAGGAUAGUUCUGGUGCUGUUUAGGUAGGGUUGAUUCAUGGGUAUGAUGGGACUGAUAACUACAUAGAAAAGACUCUUAAGAAGCUGCAUGUAGUGCUUAUGUCGUGAUUUUAAUUGGUGUAUCUUAAAGAGCAAGAUUGCUAUUGCUGUUAUCACUCUGCAGGUGGAAACUAAGGGCAAUUGCUGGGUCUGACUUGAUACUUUCUUUUGCAAUUAGUCAAGAAACAUCCUCUAAAACAGAACAGUAACUUGGAAGGUGUAAGGUACAGUUCUGUGUGCUUAAAUGGGGUUUGUAAUAAGGUUUUGAUUCCUUUGCCUUAUAUUGAAGAAUGUAGAAGGCACUGACAUACAAGUGAGAAUGGACACCUGAGCUGGGGGUAUUUCUCCUUGAUCUCUGAAGAGUAAUUGAGUUAAUAACUAGUUAACCACUUGCUGAUGUGUAAUUUUCUCAUUUAUACAAGUAAAUUGUAAUUAACGCAUAUGGCCUACAGAUACAUGCAAGGCGAAAAAAAAAAUCUCGCUCUUUUCCCAAGUAUGGAUGGAUUAAAAUGUCCUGUUUUCUGGGAAUUACAUUUUAAUGAACUCUAAUAUGCACAGAUCCCAUUAAUGAAGGCUGUUUUUUUUAUUUUUUUAAUCAGCUCUUCUAAUUAUGAGGAUCAGCUUGAAGCAAAAGCACUUGAAAAGCUUUGUGUAGAAGGGGUGGCAGGGAAUCCUCCCAACUGUAUUUAAAAAUAAAAGC